rnacentral:lncRNA from 1 species
GCUAACUUAGCCUCUCUUCUAGAUACCCUAUACUCCUCCUUAUUUUUCAUCCUCUCCUCACCAUCUUUGCUCUCAACUAACUUAGCAUAAGUUACCUUCUUAGACUCUACCUUCCUCUUAAUCUCUUCGUUCCACUACUAGUCUCCUCGAUGCUUGCUAGAUUAAUCUCUCGAGAUACCUAAUACCUCUCUAGCGUUCUCCCUAAUGUAACUCAUAGUAGUCUCCCACAUACUAUUCAUAUCCC